UGGGGAAUUUUGGACAAUGGACGCAAGUCUGAUCCAGCCAUGCCGCGUGCGGGAAGAAGGCCUUCGGGUUGUAAACCGCUUUUGUCAGGGAAGAAACGAGUUUCUCUAAUACAGAGACUUAAUGACGGUACCUGAAGAAUAAGCACCGGCUAACUACGUGCCAGCAGCCGCGGUAAUACGUAGGGUGCAAGCGUUAAUCGGAAUUACUGGGCGUAAAGCGUGCGCAGGCGGUUAUAUAAGACAGAUGUGAAAUCCCCGGGCUCAACCUGGGAAUUGCAUUUGUGACUGUAUAGCUAGAGUACGGUAGAGGGGGAUGGAAUUCCGCGUGUAGCAGUGAAAUGCGUAGAUAUGCGGAGGAACACCGAUGGCGAAGGCAAUCCCCUGGACCUGCACUGACGCUCAUGCACGAAAGCGUGGGGAGCAAACA
rnacentral:rRNA from 1 species